GCAUUGGUGGUAUAGUGGUGAGCAUAGCUGCCUUCCAAGCAGUUGACCCGGGUUUGAUUCCUGGCCAAUGCA